rnacentral:rRNA from 1 species
GAUGAACGCUGGCGGCGUGCCUAAUACAUGCAAGUCGAGCGAACGGACGAGAAUCUUGCUUCUCUGAUGUUAGCGGCGGACGGGUGAGUAACACGUGGAUAACCUACCUAUAAGACUGGGAUAACUUCGGGAAACCGGAGCUAAUACCGGAUAAUAUUUUGAACCGCAUGGUUCAAAAGUAAAAGACGGUCUUGCUGUCACUUAUAGAUGGAUCCGCGCUGCAUUAGCUAGUUGGUAAGGUAACGGCUUACCAAGGCAACGAUGCAUAGCCGACCUGAGAGGGUGAUCGGCCACACUGGAACUGAGACACGGGCCAGACUCCUACGGGAGGCAGCAGUAGGGAAGCUGCCGCAAUGGGCGAAAGCCUGACGGAGCAACGCCGCGUGAGUGAUGACGGUCUUCGGAUCGUAAAACUCUGUUAGUAGGGAAGAACAUAUGUGUAAGUAACUGUGCACAUCUUGACAGUACCUAAUCAGAAAGCCACGGCUAACUACGUG